GACGAACGCUGGCGGCGUGCCUAAUACAUGCAGGUAGAACGCUGAAGGAGGAGCUUGCUUCUCUGGAUGAGUUGCGAACGGGUGAGUAACGCGUAGGUAACCUGCCUGGUAGCGGGGGAUAACUAUUGGAAACGAUAGCUAAUACCGCAUAAUAGCAGUUGUUGCAUGACAACUGUUUGAAAGGUGCAAUUGCACCACUACCAGAUGGACCUGCGUUGUAUUAGCUAGUUGGUGGGGUAACGGCUCACCAAGGCGACGAUACAUAGCCGACCUGAGAGGGGGAUCGGCCACACUGGGACUGAGACACGGCCCAGACUCCUACGGGAGGCAGCAGUAGGGAAUCUUCGGCAAUGGACGGAAGUCUGACCGAGCAACGCCGCGUGAGGGAAGAAGGGUUUCGGAUCGUAAAGCUCUGUUGUAAGAGAAGAACGAGUGUGAGAGUGGAAAGUUCACACUGUGACGGUAUCUUACCAGAAAGGGACGGCUAACUACGUG
rnacentral:rRNA from 1 species